GCGCGGCGCUGCCAUAAACACGGCAAGAUGGCGGCGCUCACGCCGCCCGCCCGCCCGUGCUGCGUCAUGUCGCGCCCCGGCCCCGCCGCGCCCGCAGGCUCGCCGCAGUUUGUGCUCCAUGCGCGCUGGGGAGGAUGGAAAUGAGGUUCGUUCCCCUCACACCUGCAGGGUGGGAGCAGCUCGCAGCGCUGGAGGAUCCUCGACCCGUGCGUAGGGCUGGGGAGGGAUGAGCCCCGGGGCUGUGGGCAGGGAACGGCCCCAAUCCCAUCGCUGGGAUGCCGAAGGAAUUUUGGUUCCUAUGGAACAACUGCAAAAACAUCACCAGCCCCGAAUGGGCAGGAGGUGGAACUGGAGUUUAAAAACAAUCGAGCCAACUUAAACAGGUUUUAAAGGUGAGAACUGGCAGCAAACACUGGAAAGUAGAGGGUUUUUUUUAAAAAGUGUGUGGAAAUUUGCAGGGCCUUAGCAAUAACAAGAGCAAAAAUGUGUGCUGGACUUCAAAACUAAUGUGAGUUUUGCUAUGAAAAAGGUGGUUUUUUUCCAGAUUAAUGGAGAACCUACUUGAGCUUUCUGCAUCAGGUCUGUGUAUCUUUAGUCUGGCUGAAGCAAAACAAAAAUCUGUGUGUGUGUGUGUGUGUGAGAGAUGCAGGACACCAAACUGUAUUUGUAUUGGGGGAAGAGCUGGAUCCUCCAGAGGGUGCUGGGGAGGAUUUGUUCACUCUCUGCCUUUAAUGCAGUGAUAAAUAACUGCUGGAGCAAGAGUAAAAUCCUGAUAGAGUGAUCAAAGCAUGCUUGAAUUGCAAAGCAGUGAUUCUUCUCUUAUCACCUCAGCCUGUGAAAUGUGGAAUUCCCAGUCCCACACUUAACCCAUUCCACUGAAAUCAGUAGAAUUCCUCACCUGGAAUACCAAUGGUGGUGUGAAAACACCUCGAGUGAGAGCCAAGGGCUCAUGCAGCUCCUUUCCUUUUCAAAACCCAUCCUAGCAGGGACAGAAUCCUUUAAUAUUUUUAGCAAGUUUUUGUUGUGCUUUCCUAGCAACAGCCAAUUCCUUAAUGAUUAAUCCCCAAACUGUGGCAAAUCUGCAAAUUUGGGGAUGUAUGCUGAAGUCAUCUGUGCUGCCUGACGUCAGCAUUGCAUAAUCUGUUGACUGUCCCCUUUUUAUGUAAUGUAUGUUUGGAGUUUGUUUUAAAAUGUACAAAUGGAUUUUUUUUUUUUCCCCUGCGUGUUGCUCCUCCAAUAUUCCACGUUUGCCUCUCCAUUGCCCUCUGGAGUUGCAAACUUGUAAGGCAGCGUUUUCAUGGCUGGAUCCAGCCGAGUGUUUUGUAUUUCUCUCUUAAAAACAGCCUCUGGAACAUCUCAGCACCUUCUCUUUGCCAGGUGAGUUACUUAGAGUGUUAAAAAAAACCCCAAGUUUUGGAGUUUCUGCUUCCUCCUGGUGGAAGCUUCUUGUGCUGCUGGAGUGCAUCAAGAUCAUAAAUGGACUUUUAUUGGAAACUUAGUAACACAUUAACUUUGGCAGUGUAAAACCGUUGUGUUUUUUUAAACUCAUUUCAGAACUUGAUGUAUCCAUUCCCUCAGGCAACAUGGGGGUUGUAGAAAUAAUUUGGUGAUGUUUUCAGGAAUGCCUGGUUUUAGGGAAGAAAAACCAAGAGGGAGUAAAGUUGUAGAAAUGCACAACAAAGUGGGGGCUGGAGAAAUAGUUCCAUGAUCUUUUCAGCAGUGCCUCUUUUUAAGGAAGAAAAGAAACGUAGGGGAGAGUAAAUAUAUGUUGAUGGAAGCUUGUAAUUUAACUAAUUAGUGGGAUUGUGCAUUUCAAAUGUUUUUAUGUGGAUUUGAUGACCUAAAAAUGCCAACUUGGGCACCUCGAGGCCCCUCUUUGCUUCCUGCAGCUGCAGCCCCUGUGAGCACAGCUGGCACUGGCAGCUGCUCCCCUCGGGGGGCACAGCAAGGAUCAGCUGUGCCAAACUCCAGAGCAGCCCAGUGGAGGUGUGGGAUGGGCUGGAAAAUCCCAGCUCCUGGAGAAUCAGGCAGCAGGAGGCUGGCAGGCUCAGGGCACGGUGCCCGUGGUGAUCCCGCUGUCCCAGAGUGGCUCCAGCAGCUCUCCUGGCUGCCUGCCACUGUCCCCACUGCUCCCUGACACCCAACACUCCAGCAGCAUCAGGAGCCAAGGGCUGCUGGCUGGAUUUAAGGGGGAGGAAGGGCUGCCCCCGUGGAGGAGGGUUGGUUACUCUUUCUCCAUGAAAUCCAGCGUGGGUGGAUUUGCCCAGAAGGUGCUGCUUAAAGCCUCUCAGAGCUGUGCUGCAGAAGUCACCCAUGGUCAUUAAGACAACACUAAUUAUGUGGAUAAUUUGCUGGAGUGAACCUCAGCUGCAAAGCCACUCGUGUUAAAGCUGCUGAGGCUUUCACCUGUGGGGUGAGGUGGGGUUUUGGGGACACUGAGGGAGGAGGACACCGAGGACUCGGCGGUGCCACGGAGGGGCCCAUGACUGCCAGGCUGCCCUGGCUCAGUUAUCACAGUGCUGAUGCUGUCUCUUGUAAAGGUACAGUACUGUGAUAACUGAAGGAUGGCAGCCAUCUGAGCUUCAUGGCAUCCUGGGGCCACCAGAGCCGCCACGCGCCGCUGGAGUGUCCUCGCUUCACCUGCAACCCUCGGCACAAAAGUCACAUUUGUUUCAAUAAAAUCGUUCACACUUUG